CAACUAUUGGAGUCCUUAUGAAUGAAAUUUCCUAAAGGAAAAGGACAGAUUCAAUAAUGUGGUGUAGAUGGAUUGCAAUAUUGUUUGGAAGAGAGAAUGCCCCAAAGGCCAAUCAAGCUCUAGUCAAGUCAACACACAAGACAUCUAUAGCAGCCUGUUCCAGACAAGGAAACCACUGAAACACAUUAUACAUGAGAUGGCACUAAUGAACUUAAAGUUAAUCACUAUAAAACAUAAUAAGUUUGGAGGAGGACAUCAGAGCCAUCUUAAUGACUGUUGGUUUGUUUGAAUUGCCUUUAAGGAUAGAGUUAUAGACUUUUGCCCUUAGACAGCUUGUAACACCAGAAAAGCCAAUAACCAUUGCACCUCCAAGCUGAGCUAAAUUUCUCUAGAUUUAAAGAUUGGUUUCCAGCAAGAAUGCUAUGUUUUGCCUGCAAAGUGAACAAAUGCUAAGCUUAGAAGAAUCACAUUGCUGUAUCUUAAACUGCAUCCAUCUGCAUCUGAGCUUUUAUGAAAAAGGAAU